GACAGACCUCCUUCGUCCUUCCUCCUCGAUCUCUCUCUCCGGCUCUCCCUCCGUUCUCGAUCUCUCAGACUCUCACUGAGCCACACCAGCGGCAGCCACCUUCCUUCCGCCUCGAUCUCUCUCUCCGGCUCUCCCUCCGUUCUCGAUCUCUCAGACUCUCACUGAGCCACACCAGCGGCAGCCACCGUCCUUCCGCCUCCAUCUCUCACUGAGCCUCUCAGAGUCGCAGUCGCCGCCACCCUCCUUCCUCCUCGAUCUCUCUCUCCCUUCUCGAUAUCUGACUGAGCCACGCCAACGCCAAAAUCUUGCUUCCUCGAUCUCUCAGUAUCCCUUGCCGUCGCCCGCCGAAUCACUAUCUGCCGC
rnacentral:lncRNA from 1 species